GGAUCGAUGAUAACAGGAAGUAUCUGAGGACGCUGAUUGACUCAUACAAAUGGCAAUCUUAGGUCC